UUCUACAGCAUGGACAGUGUGAAUUAUUUUGUAACCAAGGUUUCAAGCAUUUGGAAUGGAAUUUGUGUGCACAAGGGAGAGGAAUCAAUUUCUCACCAAUCUUAAAUGAUUCCAAACACACAGCACAAUCAUCAUCUUCUUCUUCUUCUGAUGUU